AACAAGUCAGAAGCCCGUCUGAAGAACAGGGUGAAGAAAUAACAAGACAGGAGCCCGCCUGAAGAAUAGGGUGAAGAAAUAACAAGUCAGGUACCCGCCUGAAGAAUAGGGUGAAAAACUUGUAAGUCCAGGAGCCCGCCUGAAAAACAGAGUGAAGAAGCUGAAAGUCCAGGAGCCCACCUGAAGAAUAGGGUGAGCAUUAUCAGUUGCAAGUCAGGAGUCCGCCUGAAG
rnacentral:lncRNA from 1 species